UAGGAUUGACAAGAGAGAACGUCACUUCAAUACAGUGUGGUUACAAAUCACAAUCCGUCAGAUAAAAAAUCGGACGGCUGAGGAGUGUCAUCUCUUCUGAGCACACCUUCCUAUGUUACUUACUCAGAUUUACAGAGUGAGAGAGAGAGAAGCGUAUCAGCAUUCGGGAAACUUUUGCUUAUUCAGAUUAGAGAGAGAGAGAAGCGUUUUAGCAUUGGGGAAACUUUUGAGGCGUCUAGGUCGCCAUUGAUUGAGCUUGAGAAGCUCGUGGAUCUGGAUCUGAGGAAUGGUGACCAUUCUGGUGGCCUUGGUUUUGGGAGUGUUGUUGGGAGCUGUUUUCCUUAUCCCACGUGUUAUCAAGCCUGGUAGCUUCCUCCCUCAGUUUCCCAAGUUUCCUAUAAAAUGUUAAUUACAUAUUUGGUCCUUUGAUGGCAAUUUUCUUUGAUUGCAAGUACUGUUCAACCUUUUUUCUCAUGCAGGUAAAUCUCAAGUUACUCAACCAACCAUCUCCACUAAGGGUCCCAGGAGCUACACAAAAGCUGAGGUUGCUUUGCAUAGCACGAGGAAAGACUGUUGGAUCAUUGUAAAAGAUAAGGUUCAAACUGAUGUCAUUUGAAAUUUAAGA